UACGGGGGGGGCAAGCGUUGUUCGGAAUUACUGGGCGUAAAGGGCGCGUAGGCGGCCUACUAAGUCGGAUGUGAAAGCCCCGGGCUCAACCUGGGAAUUGCAUUCGAGACUGAAUAGCUAGGGUGCGGUAGAGGGAAGCGGAAGUUUCCGGUGUAGCGGUGAAAUGACGUAGAUAUCGGAAGGAACAUCAGUGGCGAAAGCGGCUUCCUGGACCAGCACCGACGUCAGGCACGAAAGCGUGGGGAGCAAACAGG
rnacentral:rRNA from 1 species